rfam:TPA: Bos taurus chromosome 1, whole genome shotgun sequence.
UCCCUGGUGGCUUAGAUGGUAAAGAAUCUGCCUGCAAUGCAGGUGACCCAGGUUUGAUCUCUGGGUUAGGAAG